rnacentral:rRNA from 1 species
GACGAACGCUGGCGGCGUGCUUAACACAUGCAAGUCGAACGGAAAGGCCCUGCUUUUGUGGGGUGCUCGAGUGGCGAACGGGUGAGUAACACGUGAGUAACCUGCCCUUGACUUUGGGAUAACUUCAGGAAACUGGGGCUAAUACCGGAUAGGAGCUCCUGCUGCAUGGUGGGGGUUGGAAAGUUUCGGCGGUUGGGGAUGGACUCGCGGCUUAUCAGCUUGUUGGUGGGGUAGUGGCUUACCAAGGCUUUGACGGGUAGCCGGCCUGAGAGGGUGACCGGCCACAUUGGGACUGAGAUACGGCCCAGACUCCUACGGGAGGCAGCAGUGGGGAAUAUGGCACAAUGGGCGGAAGCCUGAUGCAGCAACGCCGCGUGCGGGAUGACGGCCUUCGGGUUGUAAACCGCUUUCGCCUGUGACGAAGCGUGAGUGACGGUAAUGGGAAAAGAAGCACCGGCUAACUACGU